AGUCUGGUGCCAGCAGCCGCGGUAAUUCCAGCUCCAAUAGCGUAUAUUAAAUUUGCUGCAGUUAAAAAGCUCGUAGUUGGAUGUGUGGUGUGGUGCGUCUGGUCGCCUGCGAGCAAUCGUGGGUGUGUACCGGUGUGCGUGCCUGCCAUUCGGGUUUGUUGUACAUCGAAAGGUGUAUGGUAAGCCCCGUUUACUUUGAGUAAAUUAGAGUGUUCCAAGCAGGCGAUGGUGCCGUGAAUACAUGAGCAUGGAAUAAUGAGAUAGGACUCGGGUUCUGUUUUGUUGGUUUCCGGUGAUCUGAGUAAUGAUUGAUAGGGACAGUUGGGGGUGCUAGUAUUCAACGGCCAGAGGUGAAAUUCUUGGAUUCGUUGAAGACUAACUUGUGCGAAAGCAUUCACCAAGGAUGUCUUCUUUAAUCAAGAACGAAAGUUGGGGGAUCGAAGACGAUCAGAUACCGUCGUAGUCUCAACUAUAAACGAUGCCAACUAGGGAUACGUGGAUGUUUGUUCGAAGACUCCAUGUGCACCUGACGAGAAGUCCAAGUCUUUGGGUUCCGGGGGGAGUAUGGUCGCAAGGCUGAAACUUAAAGGAAUUGACGGAAGGGCACACCAGGAGUGGAGCCUGCGGCUUAAUUUGACCCAACACGGGGAAACUUACCAGGUCCAGACAAUAAGAGGAUUGACAGAUUGAAGAUCUUUUUUGAUUUAUUGAGUGGUGGUGCAUGGCCGUUCUUAGUUGGUGGAGUGAUUUGUCUGGUUUAUUCCGUUAACGAACGAGACCUCGACUUGUUAAGUAGGUGCGGCUAUCCUGUGAAAGGGCUAGUCUUUGAAAGGUGUACCUUCUUAAAGGGACUCUCGGUGCGUAGCCGAUGGAAGUUCGAGGCAAUAACAGGUCUGUGAUGCCCUUAGAUGUUCUGGGCCGCACGCGCGCUACACUGAUGUGUUCACUGAGCUCUUGCGUGAAAAACAAGCCUUGGCCGAAAGGCCCGGGGAAUUUGUGAAAGCACAUCGUGAUGGGGAUAGAUUAUUGCAAUUUUUAAUCUUCAACGAGGAAUUCCUAGUAAACGCGGGUCAUCAGCUCGCAUUGACUACGUCUCCGCCCUUUGUACACACCGCCCGUCGCUACUACCGAUUGAAUGAUUUAGUGAGUUUUGCGGAUUCCGUGUGUGGGUGUCAAAGCCUGUGCGUGGGAGAAGCAGCGCAAACUUGACCAUUU
rnacentral:rRNA from 1 species